UUCCCUUUAGAGGGCGACCAUGUCCCACAGAGCUCCAGCACGGAACCUUCACCGGGAGCUGCAGGAUAAGGCAGAGCAUCCCCGAGGUCACCAGGAUGUGGUGGCUUUUCUGAGGGUCUGUGAACCUUCCCAGAUGUGAAGGAAGUUACAGCCUGCUCUGAGGGUCGUGUUUGAACUCACUCUCCUUCCUCAGGCAGCUGCAGUGCUGCUGCCAAGAGCAGUUUGGACAUAAUUUGGAUAGAUUUCCUGUGGCCAGGCUCCAUCAGUUAUGGUAUUUUCCUGCUCCAGUCUCUGAAAGGUUGAACAAGAAUAUCCCUGCAAACGAGGGAUGGCUUCUCUGGGAUGGAUUCUGCAGGUUGAGAAGAGAAAAUGUUCCCCUUUCUCCUGAUGGCGCAGAAGGAAUUGCAGCUACAGUCACUCAGCUAUUCCUCCUGCUUCUUCCCCUGUUUCUCAACAGAGUUUUGGGCACAAUGCAAUAAAGCCAGUCUCAAGGUACUGUUUUUUGAGUGUGACACA